AUCACACAGCUACCCCGAAGCAGGGCAGGGGUGGCCAGAGAGCUGGGGGUCUCGGGGCUCCGUCUCCUGUCCGGACUCCUGUCCCCCUGACCAUUUGCGGGCUAUAGGGUCACGUCCAGCAUCACCUCACUUCUAGGCAAGGAGGGAGAGCCUGUGUCGCUAUCACAAAUCCAAAUUGAGUCACCAGGCUCUCAAACCCUACCCUCGCCUGCAGACGAAAGCGCGAAGUGUUUAACCACAGCCAAAGAGGAUACCUGUGGACCCACGUCGCCACGGAAUCCUCCAGCUGUGCUCCCUCCGUGAGGGGUGCCUCACUGUCUGAUGAUUUAGGACAAAGGUCAGCAAUUGAUGGACAAAUCUGACCCUGGGUCUAUUUUUGUUAGUCCCUCUGGAGCGAAGAAUGGUUUUCACGUUUUUUUCAAGAGUUGGACAAGAUAAACAGAACAAAAAGGAGGAUAUGUAAGGCGGACCUUAUGUGGUCCACGCAGCCGACCAGAGUCCCGUGUGGUCCCUCACGAAAAAGCACUGCUGAUCUCGACCCCUGGAUUUGGAACAAAAAGGUCUUCCAGCGUGUUUGGUAUGUAUUUCUGACACAUACCUGGUUGCCAGAAAGAAUUAGAUGGGACUGCCUUACAAGAGGAGAAUGGCUUACGCCGGAAGGGUGAAGGAUUUCAUAGCAAAUCACUGAGAGGUGAAGUUAAGGAUGGUGUCCUGGGCGUGGCGUCCUCCUGCCUUGAAACCAAAGGUAGUUUCUCCAAACCAGGUGAGUUGUACACCUGUCACCUUAUGAGCUUGUGUUGGCAGAAUGCCUAGACAGGGUGUGCCCUGCUUGCAGACGGGCUGGUGGGGCUGGUGGUGGAUGGAGGACCAAGCGAGUCAGUAGGUUGUGGAAGAAUGCCAACACACCUAGUGGACAAUGCUCUAGCCCCACAGCUGGACGAGGCAUGCAGCAACGCCCAUGGCCAGUGGCCUCAGUGUUUUCCUCAACGAAUCAAUGACUUAAAUGAAGACAAUCCCAGGACUUCCCUGGCGGUCCAGUGGCUAGGACUCUGCACUUUCACUGCAGGGGACACAGGUUCGAUCCCUGGUCGGGGAACUAAGACCCCACAAGCUGCACUGUGCGGCCAAAAAAAUACCAAAACAAAUUAAGAGAACCUCCUUGCUGGCUACAGGGCGCCCCCCGGACCCUGCUCCCAAUGUGCCUGCAUUUGGGGUAGAAAGAGACAAACUACAGACAUAAAAUCACAGAGGCUGUUUCUACAGGUGGUGCUGGGCAGUCAGACCCAACAUCUUGGCGGUUUUCAAGGUCAAUCCAAACCCACUGGCCACAGAGGGGUCGACUUGGAUCUAAAUUGUUGCUUGCUUUGGUCAAAAGCUAGGAGAUGAUGUUCCAACGGAAGGGUUUCCUUGAUGUAAAACAAGAUAUUGGGACCCUAGGACCAGCCAUUGUACUCCUGCUUUCUACCCAAGAGACAUGAAACAAGCUGUGUCCACACAAAGAUUUGUACAGGAAGGUUCGUAGCAGCAUUAUUGCUCAGAGUGAAAAAGUGGAAAGAAUCCAAAUGAUCCAUCAGCGCAGGAAUAGAUUCCUCAGUGUGUCGUUCCCAUAGCAACCAAGAUCCCCAGUGCCAAGAUCAUGUGCCAUUGUCAGUAGAAUAUUCGGUUUAAACGCAUUCGCUGCUUUGAAUUCUCAAGUCCUCAGAAGCAAACACACAGUGAGUAGAACCGCCAAAGAAUCCCUGGACAGAAAAGAAAAAACAAAAAACGCAGAAAUAAACGUCUCUCCCUUGGAAUGAAAAGUCGGCCUUUCAAACCAGGUUGCUGGGAAGCAGAUGAGUACAGAGAGAAGACAGACAGAGUCGUAGGGAGGGGACUCAGGCCAGAGAGCGGUAAAUAGACACCAGAAAUGAGAAGACUGCCAAGAGUGCCGGAUGCCUGGAAGAAAAUACAAGCGGUCCAGGUGAUGGAAGGCGGACGUGUGCAAGACAACUGGACAUGUCCAGAGAAUGGUUUUGAGGCAUAAAGAAAAAAGAGUGAGUUGAAUUGCAAGAGGGCUAUAGGCCUUUCCAAACCCUGGAAGAAAACCAAGUCCUUAGGGCAAAUCCACAAAAAAGGGAGAAAAUGUCAGGGCAAAAUGCAGAAUAAUAGAGAGGGAAACAGAAAUGAAGAAAAGAGAAGAAACUCAAAUAGCUGAAAGUCUGUUACCACAGACCAAGGCAGAGGCAGAACUCAAGCAGUUAGAAAAUUUAAAAAUACAGUUGUUUAGUAAAUCCAAGAGCUGGAUUUAAAAAGAUUCAUAGAAACAGAAAACCUCAAGCAACUCCAGUCAGACGAUGAUGGAGAAUCCAGCUAUAAAUAUGGAAGCAAUUAAAAUACAAUGAAAUGACUUGGUAAGGGAGUAAAGUGCUUGGUAAGACGAAUAGCUUUUCAAUAAGAAGUGCGGAGACAUAACAUGCCUCAGUUUGGGAACGCUUGAUAUUGUAAAGAUACCACUUUCCCCCCCAAAAUCAUUUAUACGUUGAAGACAAUGGAUAUUGAUAUUCCUGUGGGAUUAAAACAAAA